rnacentral:rRNA from 1 species
UACGUAGGGUGCGAGCGUUGUCCGGAAUUACUGGGCGUAAAGAGCUCGUAGGCGGUUUGUCGCGUUGUUCGUGAAAACUCACAACUCAAUUGUGGGCGUGCGGGCGAUACGGGCAGACUGGAGUACUGCAGGGGAGACUGGAAUUCCCGGUGUAGCGGUGAAAUGCGCAGAUAUCGGGAGGAACACCAGUGGCGAAGGCGGAUCUCUGGGCCGGAACUGACGCUGAGGAGCGAAAGCGUGGGGAGCAAACAGG